GUAACCUGCCCAGAAGUAGGGGAUAACACCUGGAAACAGAUGCUAAUACCGUAUAACAGAGAAAACCGCAUGGUUUUCUUUUAAAAGAUGGCUCUGCUAUCACUUCUGGAUGGACCCGCGGCGUAUUAGCUAGUUGGUGAGGUAAAGGCUCACCAAGGCAGUGAUACGUAGCCGACCUGAGAGGGUAAUCGGCCACAUUGGGACUGAGACACGGCCCAGACUCCUACGGGAGGCAGCAGUAGGGAAUCUUCCACAAUGGACGCAAGUCUGAUGGAGCAACGCCGCGUGAGUGAAGAAGGGUUUCGGCUCGUAAAGCUCUGUUGUUAAAGAAGAACGUGGGUAAGAGUAACUGUUUACCCAGUGACGGUAUUUAACCAGAAAGCCACGGCUAACUACGUGCCAGCAGCCGCGGUAAUACGUAGGUGGCAAGCGUUAUCCGGAUUUAUUGGGCGUAAAGC
rnacentral:rRNA from 1 species